rnacentral:rRNA from 15 species
ACGCGCGCUACACUGAUGCCGUCAACGAGUCUAAAACCUUCGCUGAGAGGCGGGUAAUCAGUGAACGUGCUUCGUGAUAGGGAUUGAUGUCAUCAUGAACGAGGAA